AAGUCGUAACAAGGUUUCCGUAGGUGAACCUGCGGAAGGAUCAUUAACACGUAUCCAACGUUGAAAACCCCGUGAACCUUCAUCGUCGCUCCUCAUGACUAAGUCUUGGAUAAAGCCAAACAGCAAUCCCUGCACUCGUCCGAGAAAAUGCAAGAGGAGGGACCUCUGUUUGACAGAGCACUAUGGGUUUAAUUAAGAGCGCUUGGUAAGGUGGCUUGUUUUUCCCCAAGCAGUCAGCGAAUGACAGU
rnacentral:misc_RNA from 1 species